AUUCCUUCUUAUCCUGCACACAGUUUGUUCAUUGGCUGUGGAGCCUGGAAAUGGAGGAGAAAUUAAAAUAAAGAAUAACAAUGUCUUCAUUCCUUAUAGAGCUAUGGAGAGUGUUUGAAUUUGAACAUUU
rnacentral:snoRNA from 1 species